CCUACGGGAGGCAGCAGUAAGGAAUAUUGCGCAAUGGGCGAAAGCCUGACGCAGCGACGCCGCGUGGGGGAUGAAGGUCUUCGGAUUGUAAACCCCUUUCGGGAGGGAAGAUGGAAUGAGCAAUCAUUCGGACGGUACCUCCAGAAGCAGCCACGGCUAACUUCGUGCCAGCAGCCGCGGUAAUACGAAGGUGGCAAGCGUUGUUCGGAUUUACUGGGCGUACAGGGAGCGUAGGCGGUUUAGUAAGCCCUUUGUGAAAUCUCCAGGCUUAACCUGGAACAGUCGGAGGGGACUGCUAAGCUAGAGUACGGGAGAGGAGCGCGGAAUUCCCGGUGUAGCGGUGAAAUGCGUAGAGAUCGGGAGGAAGGCCGGUGGCGAAGGCGGCGCUCUGGAACGUUUCUGACGCUGAGGCUCGAAAGCGUGGGGAGCAAACAGGAUUAGAUACCCUGGUAGUCCACGCCUUAAACUAUAGAAUACUAAGUGUCGGUCGGUUUACCGCCGGUGCCGCAGCUACGCAUUAAGUAUUCCGUCCGUCGGUAAGGUACGGCCGCGAGGUUAGAACUACAAGAAGUUAGACGGCGUGAGACGUGCCGACGGACGACGACGAGGGAGGUAGG
rnacentral:rRNA from 1 species